rnacentral:lncRNA from 1 species
AGGAAUACCUGGUUAUUUAUAUGAAUACAUUUCUCUAACUGGAAGAUGUUUGGCUCAGGAGUAGCUCAAUGUGCUCACCAUGUUGAUCAACCUAAGGUAGCCUCGCCAAGAGCUGAUACUUGGAACAAAAGAAGGAAAACCAACUCAGCUGCAAUAAGAAGGAGGUACAACUUAAAGUUUGUGGGUUGUGGUGAGCACGAGAGG